UGCGGCACCAGGAAGGCGCUGAGCUCAAACCAGGGAGCCGCGCCGAGCCGGCGGCCCUAGACUCGGCCUUUUCCGGGCUCUCGGUCGCUGGGCCGGAGGCGGGAUUCAGCUUGUCAAAAUGGGACGUCGUUCCUCAGAUACUGAGGAAGAAAACAGAAACAAAAGAAAAAAGAAACACCGUAGACGUUCAUCUUCAAGUAGUUCUUCGGACAGUAGAACAUACAGCCGUAAGAAAUCAGGAAGGAAGUCAAGGUCAAGAUCACGGUCUCGAGAUCUCCAGUCUCGUUCACAUUCUUAUGAAAAAAGACGCAGACAUCGAUCUAGCAGUAGCUCUUCAUACGGAUCCAAAAGAAAACGCAGUCGUAGUCGAUCAAGGGGCCGAGGAAAAUCCUAUAGGUCUCAGAGAUCAAGAUCAAAGAGCAGAACAAGAAGGUCACGAUCAAGACCACAUCAACGUUCCUAUAGUCGAAGCAGUGAAAGAUCCAGUCAUAGAAGAACUCAUAGCAGAUCUCGUGAAAGAGAACGGCGUAAAUGCAGAGAUAAAGAAAAAAUAAAAGAGAAGGAGAGGAGCAGAGGGAAAGACAAGGAGUUGUAUACCACCAAGCAUGGGUAAGUGUAAUGACAAAUCAAAAUAAAUUCAUUACUAUGGUG
rnacentral:lncRNA from 1 species